rnacentral:lncRNA from 1 species
AGGGAAAACGGCGUAAGGGGAGGCAAUCAACAGUAUUUACCAGGCUUUCCCUUGCAGAUUGACACCAUAGGGAGUUGCCUAGCUGGCCUACUCCUUCAUCCAGCUCUAGUUGUGCAUACAGCCCCUCCCCAACCUCAGGACUGUUUCCAAAGUAAGAAGUAAAUGCCUUCAGGGGUCUGCCAGUGAAGGUUAAUGUCUAGGCAUCUUGUGUUUGUUGCCUGUUAAGGGAGCCUCUUGCUACUUUGCAUUCUACUUGUUUCUGGAGCUGAAGCAACACUGCUUAAAAGGAUUAAUUUGGCUGGUGCUCCAGAGAAUUUGGAAGGAAAACCUAAACUGAUAAAAAUAAGGAGGAGGAGGAUGUUACUGCAGUGAACUGGGUUCUUUUAACAAUUUAUUCCACGUAUUGUUUGAGAAAGGCCAUGUGUUCUCAAUGAAGUGAGAUCGCCACAUGUUGUCUCAGUGUGUCACCACUCAAGCAGAGGGAGAAUUGUGUCCAUUGUUAAGAAGUGGAAAUUGCCAGAGAUGAAGACUUAAAAGAAAAAAUGCCCCUGGGGUUCUCAUUCAGCCAUUCAGAUUUCUUGUGCUGUUAAUACAUGCCAAGCAAUGUGUUAUGGAUUCAGAACUGAAAGCCAUAAUCUUUUUCUUAUAAUCAGCUAAAAAAUCUAGUGGGAAAGAUAUAAAAAUAAAUAAUCACUAAUAAAACAAUGUGACAAGUAGUGGUUAAUUAGGGAAACUACAGAGUCUAAAAGAAUACAUAGGAUAUGUUUGGUAGAACAGGCGGGUGAGGACAUUUCAAAUUGAGCAGUGUUUCUGAGAGAAGUAUCUUUCUUUCUUUCUUUCUUUCUUUCUUUUUCUUUCUUUUUCUUUCUUUCGUUCUUUCUCUUUCAUUAUUACUCACCUAAGGAAAUUUUUCAGAGCCUUGUUCUAAACACUAGCACUUGCUCCCAAUAAAAUGUCAAUACCACAGAUAUAUUGAAUGUCCCUAUAUGUAUGGUGGUCUGUUGAAGAGCUACAAACCUCUGUAAUAUCUACAGCUUUUUCAUCCUCUAACAAACAAUUUUUAUCUGUUUGUGGCAAUAUGACCCCCACUGAGAAUGCCUGACAUUGUAGUACUAGCAUGCCUAGAUCUUGUCAAGUAACUUCAUUUCCCUAGGGUCAAUUUUGGCAAACUUUUUGUGCCAGAGUGGCCUCACAUUGUUUUCCCUUCCUUGAUUUCAGCUAUUUUUUAAAAUCUGAUUAUGGCUUAAAGAUUGCAACUAACUGGCAUUUGGGGUUAUACCUCUGCAUUUAGUAGGCUGAGUUACUUCUGCAAGUAAGAGAAAAGUAAAAACAGUGGUUUCCACAAGUUUGUUGCUCACUCUGGGAGUAUGACUCCUCUGUUCAGUGCUGUCUGGAAGGAUCCCAGACUACUUUCAGUUACACUGCUUUGCCAACUCUAGGAAGUGGCCCUUGUCCAAGUUGGCUUCUACAGCCUACAUAGCAGGAGGAAGGAACAUAGAAGUAGGGAGAUGAUCAUGUGACAGCUGCCUCUUAAGGGAGGUAUCUAGAAAGCUGCCACAUUGCACUCUGACUUAUAGCCCAUUUGGCCAGGGUUUAGUCACAUGCCCACACCUGGCUAUGCAGGAGAUUGGAUAUUGUCAUCUUUAUUCUGGUGGCCAUGUGCCCAGCUGAAAUGGAAGAAUGAGGGAAUGGAUAUUGGAGGACUACCAGUGCUCUUGUUAGUUUCCUUGCUAAAGACUUUUGCUUUAAAGAAAUUAUUUUUGCUAGACAAAUAAAAGUGUAACAUUUACUGAAAUUAAAAUAAAAUAUAUUAAAAUGAUCUGCAGUCUAACACGUAACAGAUUAAACUGCUUUCAUAGUUUUCCACCAUAAAAUUCUUAUCUAGGCAUGAUUUUUAUAUUGUUACAAUUAGCAGUCAGAUAUAAUUGUUUCUUUUUCAGUUUGUGUUAUAAGUAGUAUUCUAGGUUGUUAUAUAAUCCUCAUAAUUUUAAGGGCUUUAGAGAUGCUGCAAUAAACAUUUUCAUGUAUAUUAACUUUUCCUUGUGUAGGAUAAUUUUCUUUAUCUAUGUGUCUACCAAAAGUAGGGUAAUUGGAUCAAAGGCUAUGAUAAUUUUGCAUGUCUUGAAACACAAGAAAAAAAUAUUUUUCCAAAAAGAAUCUUCCAAUUUUGUCAUUUUGUUUCAUUAGUGAUUGUUUAUUUUUCAUCACUUUUAUUAGUUAGAUAUGACACUGUCUGCUUGAUUACCAAAUAUUCUUAUUUUACGCAUUUAAAAAGCCACAUUACUCUUAUUUCAAUGUGUUCUUUUGAUAACUGGCAGAGUUGAACAUUUAUACAUAUAUAUUAAAUAUUAUCUUACCAACUUUAAUUCCAAUUACUCAUAUACUUUCUUCAAAUGUUAGUAUUAUUUUAAAUACCAAUUUGUACAAGAUUUCUAUGCAAUAUAGAUAUGGUCUUUGGAAUGUAAAAUUUGCUGUAGAUAUGUGUCUAAAUCUGUUUUCUAGUUAUUAUAAAAUCAUUAUUAUUAUCAUUCCACUGAUCUUUCUUCCCUCAUAUUCUCUGUCAAAAUGCAUUCUUCAGGAAAUAAAAAAUUAAAGGACUAGUCAAAAUACAUGUCAAACACCAAUGAAAAGCAAAUGUUAGCUCAAACAUUGCUUAGCCAAGGAAACGUUUAUUUUAAUAAAUUUUCCUCUCUGAUUAGUUUUCUCUUGAACACUGCUAAAAUAAACGCACACACACAAAAUCAAUGUUCAGGAUUUUCUGAUUAUUUGCUGUGAUUGUGUGGUUUAAUCCAUUUGAAACUAGAAGAACAUAGUGCUGUUCACACUCCGCUGGAGGAAACACAAUUUCACAGUUUGGUUCCCAGCACUGCCUUGCAGGGCUGCUAUCGUAAUAUGUUUCUAGCUCUGGACAUGCAAGCACAAGUCUCUCACUUUGGCUUCUCAAUGGGGAAGGAGAGAAACACUAGAGGAAACAGCAAUUAGAUCAAUAUAUAAUAAUACAAAAGCUACAGAAUUGUUCCCCA